rnacentral:misc_RNA from 1 species
AAGUCGUAACAAGGUUUCCGUAGGUGAACCUGCGGAAGGAUCAUUAGCAAUGACGGGACACGCAGUGCCACGCGCACGGGUUGCACGGUAGUGCAGCCCGUGUGUGUUGGACUCGACCCAUCAACUCUAUCACCAUGUGCGAAAGUGGGUGUUCCCUGGUCGAUGUGACUGGGGACCACCGCCACCACAACACGCUGGAUAGGCAAAUCAUGUAGAUACACGAAACCAACGAGAAACUUUUAACAAUGGAUCUCUUGGCUCUU